rnacentral:lncRNA from 1 species
UCCAUCACACCUAUAUGGAUUUACACAGGUCUUUUUCCAAUGGCAGUGAUCUUGGAGCCUCAGCAGUGAAAAGGCUGGCACCAGGCCUGAGGUUUAUCAAACCCAAGAUCUUGUUGGGCAAGUGUCACAUCCAAGCCUUGAGGACUCCUGGAGCACUGCAGCAUUACUUAGGGUUGCAGCAUCAUUGCACAAGAGUGAGGAUGAUUACCUGCCAGCAGUCUGGUUGCAAGCCAGGCUUACCUCCCUUCUGCAAAUACUUGAGCAAUAUCUAAGGCCCUGAGCAGUACCAACAGGCUCCCAAAAUGACCCAGUGCUCUGUAAACAUGUCGCCACCUCUUUCCCCACAGUCCAAACACCUGACAACUGAGGAAAGUCAGUUCUCUCUGUAAUAAUGGAGCUAGAUCCUCCCAGGCACUCAUCACCACCCUAUCCAAGCACAAGAUAUUUCAAGAGUCCUUUUGAGAUGUCAUUCCCUUUGGGCACUCUUACUAUCAUUUAGCAUAACAGAACUGUUUAAGUGAGAGACAAGUCAGCACAGCCUGGAGACCAGACCCUGGGUUGCACAGCAAAUGGCAUCAUGAUGCCAAAAGAAAAUAUAUGACGGCUAAGUCUCAGCAGACCUAAAAAACAGUGUGUAACAGCUUAAAGGAUUGAUCAUUGUGCAUAUCCCAAGCUUUACAAUGAGCAAGGGCCUGCUGUCAUGGCAGUGAUGCAGCCCACAUGGAGCAAUGGAUGUGAAUUCACCUGGUUCAUGUAUCAUUGGUUUUGGUGCAAUAUACAUUGAUCCUGCUUGCUCUGUCACAUCACUCAUCACAACCUGAAAUAGGGUACUAGUUGGAUUGUUUUGGGUUUCAGCUAUUUCACUGCAUAAUUUGACCUUAUGAGACAUUUUUAAAAAUUGUUUUCAUACAUGAACCAUAUUUUUCAAUUUCUGCUUUCAAUCUCCAGACAAAGAAUGGCUAUUCUGUAAUAUAAUAAGAGCUAUUUACUGGUAUUGGAACCACAGACUUACUGUAAGUUUCACAGCUUUCAAAACACAAUGUAAAUCUUCCCUUUUUUGUUUCAG